GCGCUUGCUUCGGCAGCACAUAUACUAAAAUCAGAACGAUACAGAGAAGAUGAACAUGGUCCCUGUGCAAGAACGACACUCAAAUUCAUGAAAUAUUUAAAAAAAAAGCAUUUUU
rfam:Mustela putorius furo unplaced genomic scaffold scaffold00141, whole genome shotgun sequence.